AUGGCCACAUCACUUUGAAACACCAGUUCCUAUACAAUCUCCAAAGUUAAGCAAUGUCGCACCAGGUCAGUACCUAGAUGGAUAACUGCUUGGGAAUACCAAGAGCUGUAAG